rnacentral:rRNA from 1 species
GACGAACGCUGGCGGCGCGCUUAACACAUGCAAGUCGAGCGAAGCGGCGGACGGGUGAGUAACACGUGAGUAACCUGCCUUAGACAUUGGGAUAGCCUCGGGCAACCGGGAUUAAUACCAAAUGGUCUAAGGUGGACUCGCGUCCCAUUAGCUAGUUGGUGGGUAACGGCCCACCAAGGCGACGAUGGGUAGGCGGCUGGAAAGGGUGAACGGCCACAUUGUGACUGAGAAACGUUCCAAACUCCACGGGAGGCAGCAGUCGGGAAUAUAGCGCAAUGGAGGGAACUCUGAUGCAGCGACGCCGCGUGAACGAAGAAGGCUUUCGAGACGUAAAGUUCUUUUAUAUGAGAAGCGGUACCAUAAGAAAAAGCCCCGGCUAACUACGUGCCAGCAGCCGCGGUAAUAC